AUGAGGGGUGCAGAGCAGCUGAGGCUCCGUUUGGCACCGCCGCUCCGAGGGCGUCCUGCGCCCUCCAAGGCCCGGUCCCAGGGGCUGCGGGGAAGCCGGGCCCGGGGACCCCCUCCCACCCUGGGCCGAGCCCCCCGCUCCCUGUGCGGCCUGUCCCAGGCUUCCAGGUCUCUGCUCCCGCGCGCCAGGCGGCGCUCCACCUCCGCGGCAUCGCCCGUGACAGCGCCCUGUGGAUCCUCCGCAGUUCCGCGUCCCAGAUUCGGUGCCCCGAACCCGUGCAGACGUGGUCUGUGGGGCCCAGGCCCGCUGGCCCCUGCGGCUCCCGAAGCCGAAGAACUUCUUCAAGGAGCAAUGCGAGUGGGAGCACCAGGAGCCCAAUCUCAGAGUGGGACACCACGGAUUGUUUUAUGAAAACGGCAGCUGGGAUGUGGAGGAAGAGCCCCCUGCAAGUUGGACAGGAGCCACAAGCUGCACUCUGAACCUGACCACUCUGCACCAAUGCCAUCGGCCCGUGGGUCUCCGAGGGGACCUGCCAAUUGGACUGCAAAUUCCCCAGUUUGCCCCCAGGUAUUAUAGAAAAUUAUUUGUGUAAAUAAUGUAAAGAAAACACACCUAUGGCAAAAACAUAUGCAUGCUCUUUCACACAGGGUGAAAUCAUAACUGGCCUCAUCUAAACAUUUCCUCAAAGAUCAGCCAAAUCUAGGUCAAUUCUGGUAAACAUAUUAUAUUCAACCUUAAAGGUUGCCACCAUUAGAUGCAUGGCUAUGGUAGUAUGGUACCUACAUCUAAACUAGUGAAUCGAAUGCAGGUAAGAAUUCAGAAAUGCCCCCAGAUGAUUUCAAAGCCAAAUUUCAGCUAAGGUCUCCACAAAAUGGCUAUUUUCAAACAUAGCACAUUCUGACUGGGUUUGCUGAGGUACUUUCCCUCGUACAUUUUUUUUGUCCUGGGACUGGGGGUUGUGGAAGGAAAGACUGCUUUGCAAUAUUGCAUAAUAAAUAUGGUUCUAAAAGUGCAGGUGUUAGAAAUAUCUUCCCUAAUUAACCACACUCCUAUGUAAGUGAAAAGGAAAUCUGAAAAUUUUAGUGGCAAAUUACUUCUUCUGAAACUAAUCUUAAUGUUGGACUUCUUUAUUCAUUAGUUUCUCUUUGAUAUUCGUAUCAUCCCCGUAACUCACUCUUCUUCCACACCAACCUGCACCCCGCAAGGCUGUUGUAAAGAAUUACCUUUAAAAAAUCUUAUAAGCAGCUGGAACAUUUUCAUUCCAGUUAUCAACGAGAUCGUUCAUGGUUCUUUAACUAGAAUAGAAAUGUUAGAAAAAGAAUAAAAUCUGUUGUAGUUUUACAUAAAGAACACUACUUCCAAUUUUAUACAGAACUAUAAAUUAAAAAUAAACUAAUGGAAAAUAGUUAUUUGUAAAUAAUUACUUUGAUCAUCAACUUUUGAUCUCUAUUCUCCUCCAAAGCAUUCAUACUUCAGGGUCUCACGAUUUAGGUCCAAGUCUCCUCUGUGUCACUAAAUGUCUACCACUUUCCCUUUCCACACCCCAUAGAGCCCAGAUGCCAGAGAAAUAAAAGGUUAAAAAAACAAGCAUCCUGGCUGGGUGCAGUGGCUCCUGGUUGUAAUCCCAGCACUUUGGGAGGCCGAGGUGGGAGGAUCUCAUUGAGCUCCAGAAUUUGAGACCGGCAUGGGCAAUAUGGCAAGACCCCGUGUCUCUACUGAAAAUACAAAAAUUAGCCAGGCGUAGUGGUGUGUGCCUGUAAUCCCAGCUACCCAGGAGGCUAAGGCAGGAGAUUCACUUGAAUCUGCAAGGUAGAGGUUGCACUGAGCUGAGAUUGUGACACUGCAUUCCAGCUUGGGUGACAGAGCAAGACUGUCUCAAAAAAAGAAAGAAAGAGAAAGAAAGGAAGAAAGGAAGAAAGAAAGGAAGAAAGGAAGGAAGGAAGGAAGGAAGGAAGGAAGGAAGGAAGGAAGGAAGAAAGAAAGAAAGAAAAGAAAGAAAGAAGGAAAGAAGGAAGGAGAAAAAGAAAGAAAGAAAGAGAAAGAAAGAAAAAACUGUUAAUUGUUUUAAAAACAAAAUCAUUCCCAACGUAUGUUCCCUCACAUUCCUAAAUUUUUGCAAGUGCUGUCUCUUCUAUCUACGAAAAGUGUUUCCACUUCGUUGGAAACGUUGAUGUUACAUAACACUCAACUCUGACCUACAAAGAAUAAGUCUGGCUUCCUAUGACGUUCCAGGAGACAGCGAAAGGCAGCUUGAAAAGCAUCCUCCCAUCCCGGGUCUGGUAUUCCAGUGCACCCACAACUUCCCUCCCUCUUGCAGGUCCCAACACAUACUGAGCUGCUCAUGGCUCCAUCGCUGGGCUCGCAUUCUUCUUAUUGCUGGAAUGGAAUGACCUUCCUCUGCUUGCUUCACUUGCCUCGAGAGCUUUUAAGGUUCUCUUUUAAAUUUUACCACCAGGCCCUAAAUUUCAUCCACCAUACAUGAGGAUGAUCCUAGGUGGACAUCAGAACCCAAUUGGACAUCCCGUCUCCAGGUGGAUAAUAGGCCCCUGGUGGAUGUCCAGCCCCAGGUUGACACCAAGGCUCCAGGCAAACACCAGGCCCAAGGUGAGCAUUAGGCUUCCUGUAAACACCAGGCCCAUGUGGAUUACUAGGCCUCAGGCAGACGUCAGGCCCCAGGUGUACCCUCGGGCCCCAGGUGAGUAUCUGUGCCCCAGCUGAACAUCAGUCAACAGGUGGAUGCCCAAGCCCUUGGUAAACACCAGACAACAAAUGAACAUCAGGCCCCAGAGAGACAUUUGGUCCAAGUGGAUACCUAGGUGGCCUGGUGAACCUCAGGCUCCUGAUAAACACCCAGGCCACAGAAAGAUAACAGGCCACACCUAAACACCCAGGCCUCAGGUGGGUAUCAGGCCCCGGCUAAACACCAGGCCCCAAGUGGACACUGAACUCAGGUGCCAGGCUGACACCCAGGCCCAGUUGCACACCAGGUCAUAGGGGAAUAUCAGGCCCCGAGAGGAUACUCAAGCCCCAAGUAGGUAUCAGACUGCGGGUGAACACCCAUCCCCAGAAGAACACCCAGAACACCCAUCCCCAGAGGCUACGCAAGCCCCAAGUAGCCAUCAGGCCCCAAGCGAACACCAAGCCCGACGUGGAUAUCAGAACCCAGGUAGGCACCCGGCCUAGGGAGUACUCCUAGGCCCCAGGUAGACAAGGUCCCACGUGCACACGUGGCACCAGGUGAAUAAUCAGUCCCAAUGUGGACACAGGAUCCCAGGUGAACAUCAGGCUCAAGGCUGACAGCCAGGCACCAGGUUUACAUGAGGACUCAAGUGAAAACUUCACUCCGAAUGGACAUCAGACCCCAGGCGAAAUUCAGACCCAAGUGAAUACCAAGUGAUAUCUAGGCUCCACUUGGACAGCUAGUCCCCAGGAUUUCAGGCCCUAGGGUGACACCCAGGCUCCAGGUGGACAUUAGGCUCAUGGUAGAAAUUAAGAUACAAGUUGACACCUAAGAAUUCGGUAAACAGGAGAGCACAUGUAAAUUACUAGGCGCCAGGUGAACACCCACGCCCCAGGAUGACACCAGGCCCCAGGUGAACAUCACGUCCCAGGGUAACAUCAGGCCUCAUAUGGAUACCUAGAUGCCUGGUGAACGUGAACAUCAGGCCACAGAUUGAAACCAAAGCCACAGAAGGGUAUCAGACCCCGUGUAAAUACCCAGGCCCCAGGUGGGAAUCAAGACCUCCUGGUAAACACCAGGCUCCUAGUAGACAUUAAGGCCCAGCACAACGCCUGGCCCCAGGUGAACAACAGGCCUAAAGUAGCUAUCAGGACCCAAGCGGACACUGGACUCAAGGUAUGUACAUCAGGUGUACCAUAGUAAUCCACAUGGGGCCUGGUGUUUACCGGUGUCCAGCGUCCCAGUUGGACACCAAGUCACACGGGGACACAGACCCCAGGUGGACACCCAGUCUCAGGAUGGAAAUCAGGCCCUAGUUAAACAGAAGGCCCCAGGUGAACAUCAGGCCCCUGGUGGACACCCAGGCCCCAGAUGGAUACCAGGCCCCAGGUGGACAUCAGACCCAAGGUAAAUACCCCAGGCAGGUUAUUGGUCCCAGGAAAACACCCAAGCCCCAAGGAGAAAUCAGACUGCAGGUGAACUCUGGUCUGCAGGUGUGCAUCAGGCUGGGCAUCCAUCUGGGACCUGUGUUCACCGGGGGCCUAUGUCCACCUUGGGCCUGCUGUUCAUCUAUGGCCUGGCGUUCACCUGGGUCCUGAGUCAACCUGAUGCCUGAUACCCACCUGGGACCUACACAGUCACCUUGGGGCCUGGUAGUCACUUGAGGGCUGGUGUCCUCCUGGGGCCUGAUGUCAACCUGCAGUGUAGGCAUCCACCAGGGACCUGAUGUCCACCUGACGUCUGAGGUUCGACUGGGGUUUGGUGGCCACCUGGAGCCUGGUAUCCAUCUAAAGCCUGGGUUCUGCUUGGGGCUUGGAUGACUGGGCACGAGUAAACAGAUCCUCCAUCCCCUGGAGAUCAAGGUUCCCAUGGGACCAGGGCAGCAAGAAUUGCUAAGUUUGGGUGCCCCUAGAGUGGAUUCCUCAGAGGUCCUCAUUAGAGACCCAUAGAUGGUGUUCUUGUUUGUACUCUGUCUGGGCACAGAGCUAUCUCGGGGCAAGGGGGAACUCAGCUUAGUGCACAAACUUGUUGCUUGAGCUUGGACACUCAACUUCAUUUUUCUGGGUUUGUUUCUCUACCUGAGAAGUAAGGGAGUCAGGCAAGCAAAGCUCAUGAUUUCCAAAGUUCUAAUAUUCCAUGAAUCUAUGAUUCCAUAAUAUAUUCAAUGCUUAUUCAUUUUUAUCAAAUAUAUAUUUAUAAAAUUGAUUCACUCCUGUACAAAUAUUUAUUUUCAAAAGUUUCUUCUUGGGCUGAGAUCUGAGAAGGAUUUAAUAUACUUAGUCUCAGGCGCCAUUAGCUUUAUUAUACUCUCCCAAUUUGAUAAAGUAGGUAAUGGAAAUAAUGGAAGAAGUUUUGUUUAAACAAUGAAGAAAUGUAUACAAUAAAGAAAUGCCAUGCAUGUAAAUAAUAUGUUUCUACCCUAUAAAGCCAAAAUGUAUACACUUCUUUUAAUCAAAAACCAGGUAAUUGGGAUCAUUCAUCACCUCAAAUUAUCUAAAAAAUAAAGAAAAAAAAA
rnacentral:lncRNA from 1 species